AAGGUACUCAAGAGCACACAAUGGAUGCCUAGAUGUAUAUUACCGAAGAAGGACGUGGAAGACUGCGAAAAGUCUCGGGUAGCUGUCAACAAGCUUUGAUCCGGGAAUAUCCGAAUGGGGAAACCCAGCACGAGUCAUGUCGUGUUAUCUGUCUCUGAAUAUAUAGGAGAUUUGACGGGAACCAACCGAACUGAAACAUCUUAGUAGGUUGAGGAAGAGAAAAUAAAUAAUGAUUCCGGGAGUAGUGGCGAGCGAAACUGGAUCAGCCCAAACCUUUUUCAUUUUUGCCUGGUAAUUUAUUACCGGCAAAUAAGUUUUCAGACGAAUAUGAACAAGGGGUUGUGGGAUUACACAAGACCAUAUCAGAGAACUAAAGUUUACUUUAGCUAUCUGAUAUGUGAUAGCGAACUGAAAAUAGCUAGUAAGGUAAGAAAUUAGAGUUGUUAGCGGAAUAGUUUGAAUGACUAACCAAAGGACGUGAAAGUCGUGUAUGCGAAAACAACUUUGGCCUUAUAUGUGUUUUCCCGAGUAGGACGGGGCACGAGAAACCCUGUUUGAAUCCGGCAGGACCACCUGCCAAGGCUAAAUAUAAUAUAUGAUCGAUAGUGAACUAGUACCGUGAGGGAAAGGUGAAAAGAACCCCGGGAGGGGAGUGAAAUAGAUCCUGAAAUUGUGUGCUUACAAAGUGUCGGAGCCCUUCGGGGUGACGGCGUGCUUUUUGUAGAACGAUCCAGCGAGUUAAUUUCAUGCGCAAGGUUAAGUCAAGUGACGGAGCCACAGUGAAAGCGAGCCUGAAUAGGGCGAUUAAGUGUAUGGAAUUAGACCCGAAACCAAGUGACCUAACCAUGAGCAGGUUGAAGCGACAGUAACAUGUCGUGAAGGACCGAACCGUCGUACGCAGCAAAGUGCUCGGAUGACUUGUGGUUAGCGGUGAAAUGCCAAUCGAACUUGGAGAUAGCUGGUUCUCCUCGAAAUAGCUUUAGGGCUAGCGUCAUGUUAAUUAGCCAACGGGGGUAGAGCUCUGUAAAGGACUUUGGCCCGCAAGGGUACUUAUCCUUAACAAACUACGAAUACCGUUGGUGGUAUCAUGGCAGUUAGAACGUCGGGGCUAAGCUCGGCGCUCGAAAGGGAAACAGCCCAGACCAUCGUCUAAGGUCCCUAAAUAUACGCUCAGUGGGAAACAAGGUGGAAUUUCUUA
rnacentral:rRNA from 1 species